GGAAGAAUUUCUGGAAAUGUUUGUUAAUAAUAUAGCUGAAAGUGAUGAUAUGGAACUUUUUGUGCCUUUCCUUCACCUGGCACCUGAGAAACGGCAGCACUGUUAAAUCUCCUCCCUGGAUCACUGAUAUUGUGGUGGAUUUUUGUUUGAUAUGUAUAACUAUGUAACUAUAUACACUAUAUAUCUGUGUGCACUGAACAUAUAUAUUUUAACUUUCAUGUAGAGUCUUAAGCACAAGACAUUUUUGCUUCACCGAGGUUUAUUAAGUUGGUACUGUAACAGGGCAGUUAAUGUAGGGGGAGAGUUCUCUUGAAUAAUUUACUUAAUAAUUAAUUAAUUUAACAUCUUUAAUGCAGCACAACCAAAACAGUAACAUUGUAACAGAGAUCCUGAACACAUAACGAUAAAAUAUCAUACAAAGUACACACACACACACACACACACACACACACACACACUUUGAACCCAAACUGAAGUGUUUUUAAGCAUGUAACCUGUGUAUUAUAUGUUAUAAGAUUGUGCCACUUGCUGAAUAAGAUUUAAUAAUUAGGAUUAAUAUCUGACCUUUGACCGUGUCAUGACCUAUUGUGAUAAGCCAGAGCAGGGGUACUCAGAGUCCUGACUGGCCUUUGGCCAAGACCUUGGCCGCUAUCUGACCCCAGCAGCUGUGCGGGGCGUGUGGGAAAGUUACCCAGCAGCAGGGGCGGCGACACUGGUCCCUAUAUUAGGGGACCAGAGGACGCCCCCAGGGCUCUUUUCCUCCUGCUGCUGCUACCUGUCCGUCUCUGUGUUGCUCUGUUGUCUGUGCUUAAGGCUGUACACCCCGGGGUUUUGCUUUGCUUGCUUUCUGUUUGUAAUUUUCUUGCUAAAUGUCUGUAUGUAUUUUUCCUGCUGUUCAUAUGGUUCAGUGUAUUAAACUCUGUUCCAAGAAUUCUACUCUUUUACAGAGCAUCUUUUUGAGUGUCUUGGUUUUAAUUGGAUUUGGAUCUCCACAUCGUUGGUGGGAGAAGGUUAUCAGAAUGGCUUCAAAAUUUGCGACCACAAUUGGCGACGUACGAAGGGACAAGGAAUUAAGGUGGAGAUGGCAUCUGGAUAACAGACGGAGAUGCAGAGGUCCUGGAGCAGGUGCUGGUGAUCUGAUGACGAGUGCGAGGGGACAACGGAGUGAAACAGGCUGCUCCAGACAGCUGAACCAUGACCCAUCCAGUAGCUGCUGA
rnacentral:lncRNA from 1 species